rnacentral:rRNA from 1 species
AUUGAACGCUGGCGGAAUGCUUUACACAUGCAAGUCGAACGGCAGCGCGGACUUCGGUCUGGUGGCGAGUGGCGAACGGGCGAGUAAUACAUCGGAACGUGCCCAAUCGUGGGGGAUAACGUAGCGAAAGCUACGCUAAUACCGCAUACGAUCUAAGGAUGAAAGCGGGGGAUCGCAAGACCUCGCGCGAUUGGAGCGGCCGAUGGCAUAUUAGGUAGUUGGUAGGGUAAAGGCCUACCAAGCCGACGAUCUGUAGCUGGUCUGAGAGGAUGAUCAGCCACACUGGGAGUGAGACACGGCCCAGACUCCGACGGGAGGCAGCAGUGGGGAAUUUUGGACAAUGGCCGCAAGUCUGAUCCAGCCAUUCCGCGUGCAGGAUGAAGGCCCUCGGGUUGUAAACUGCUUUUGUACAGAACGAAAAGGCUCUGGUUAAUACCUAGGGCUCAUGACGGUACUGUAAGAAUAAGCACCGGCUAACUACGUGCCAGCCGCCGCAGUAA